CGGAGGUCAAAGUUAAACCAAACUAUCAAUUGAGUUGAAAAGUUCUCAAACAUAUACUAAAUGUAUAAAAAAUAGCUUCUGAUCCCGAUACUAGGUACCUGGGGCAGUUUGCAGCAUUUCAGGGUCCCGCAGUGGACGAAAAGACACGGUUCCCAGUAGAACAAGUCAAGCAUCACUGACUGCGGUCAGUAAGUUGGUAGAUGACCACUUUGAUCAGCCAGCUUAGGAACCGAGGGAACAUGGCAUCGGUCCUCGUUUAACGGUUCUACCUUAAAGUUCUCAGUUUCGCGUUCAGUAGUCGGGUUACCAAAGCAGGGGAGCCAUUCCCUCUACAUAGGAUCAAAAUUGCGAUAGAAUGUCUUCGGAUCAUCUUCAGGGAUGUUUCCCAAACCGUCGCCAAUAACCCGUUUUGAGACUUAAAUAAAGUACCUACCUACCUACGCUUCAGGGCUUUUAGCGGAAGAUCGAUACCCCUCAGCCACAAUUUUUUUUGUUUAUUCACAUAUGCACAAUGCAGAAAAUGUCUCUUAAACUCUUAUCAAAUUGAAGAACAGUGAACACAAAUUAGAGCAAGACAGUGCAAAUAUGGAUUACGGUGAGAUUCGAAGUCGUUAUCUGCAUACUUCAGAGUAUUUUCGGAAGGACGAUACUCCACGGUUACGUAGGUGCAAGUUCUGUUAAGUGGGCCAGGUGAAAAUAAGCAGCCAGAAACGAAUUAAAAAAAGUAAAAACAUCGCCAUAAACUCCAUCAUUUGUGUGUAUGAGGUAUGGAGUAUUGUUUGCUAAUUUAAAUGGAUUUCUAAUCUAUUGAACUUUUUAUAGUCAUGGAACGCAAAAAAGCUAUCAGAAGUGGAACGGUGGCUGCUGUAGUCUUUUCUUUAGGCUUAAUUUCUGCCAUACGAAACUGCUUUCGCCAACCUCCUACACCAUUUACCCUAUCCAGCGUCGAGAUCUAUUCCUAUAUAUUUGGUGGUGGCUACAUAAUGAUAGAAUCAUUUUUGACUUGGAGGAGCUGUAGAAAUAUUGAUGAUGAAAGUUGAGCAGUUGAGCACUUAUGAUAUAUGUAUGAAAAACUUUGUUUCAUUGCUGUUGUUUUAGAUCCAGAAACUAAAUUUCAUCACGCUGCAGUUUUAAAUCAUUCCUUUAAUGCAUUUAUCUUUAAUUUAGCUUCCUAUGAAAUAAAUUUAAUAUCUUUGUUUA